rnacentral:tRNA from 1 species
ACCUGGCUGGCUCGGUUAGUAGAGCAUGCAACUCGUGAUCUCAGGGUUGUGGGUUCAAGCCCCAUGUUGGGUG